rnacentral:rRNA from 1 species
AGUGAACGCUGGCGGUAGGCCUAACACAUGCGAGUCGAACGGCAGCACAGUAAGAGCUUGCUCUUACGGGUGGCGAGUGGCGGACGGGUGAGGAAUACAUCGGAAUCUACUUUUUCGUGGGGGAUAACGUAGGGAAACUUACGCUAAUACCGCAUACGACCUACGGGUGAAAGCAGGGGAUCUUCGGACCUUGCGCGAUUGAAUGAGCCGAUGUCGGAUUAGCUAGUUGGCGGGGUAAAGGCCCACCAAGGCGACGAUCCGUAGCUGGUCUGAGAGGAUGAUCAGCGACACUGGAACUGAGACACGGUCCAGACUCCUACGGGAGGGAGCAGUGGGGAAUAUUGGACAAUGGGCGCAAGCCUGAUCCAGCCAUACCGCGUGGGUGAAGAAGGCCUUCGGGUUGUAAAGCCCUUUUGUUGGGAAAGAAAAGCAGCAGGUUAAUACCCCGCUGUUCUGACGGUACCCAAAGAAUAAGCACCGGCUAACUUCGUG